GAUGAACGCUGGCGGCGUGCCUAAUACAUGCAAGUCGAGCGAACAGACGAGGAGCUUGCUCCUCUGACGUUAGCGGCGGACGGGUGAGUAACACGUGGAUAACCUACCUAUAAGACUGGGAUAACUUCGGGAAACCGGAGCUAAUACCGGAUAAUAUAUUUAACCGCAUGGUUCAAUAGUGAAAGACGGUUUUGCUGUCACUUAUAGAUGGAUCCGCGCCGCAUUAGCUAGUUGGUAAGGUAACGGCUUACCAAGGCAACGAUGCGUAGCCGACCUGAGAGGGUGAUCGGCCACACUGGAACUGAGACACGGUCCAGACUCCUACGGGAGGCAGCAGUAGGGAAUCUUCCGCAAUGGGCGAAAGCCUGACGGAGCAACGCCGCGUGAGUGAUGAAGGUCUUCGGAUCGUAAAACUCUGUUAUUAGGGAAGAACAAAUGUGUAAGUAACUAUGCACGUCUUGACGGUACCUAAUCAGAAAGCCACGGAUAACUACGUG
rnacentral:rRNA from 1 species